AAAUUGAAGAGUUUGAUCAUGGCUCAGAUUGAACGCUGGCGGCAGGCCUAACACAUGCAAGUCGAACGGUAACAGGAAGCAGCUUGCUGCUUUGCUGACGAGUGGCGGACGGGUGAGUAAUGUCUGGGAAACUGCCUGAUGGAGGGGGAUAACUACUGGAAACGGUAGCUAAUACCGCAUAACGUCGCAAGACCAAAGAGGGGGACCUUAGGGCCUCUUGCCAUCGGAUGUGCCCAGAUGGGAUUAGCUAGUAGGUGGGGUAACGGCUCACCUAGGCGACGAUCCCU
rnacentral:rRNA from 1 species